GUGAUGAAUCCAUAGGUGGCCCGGGUGUAUUCUACAGUGCAUGUGUCUCCAGUGUGACUAAGGGACUGGAGAUACGGCCCUGUUGGAAUAACAACCGAAGCCCAUGUCUUCAUGGAACC
rnacentral:pre_miRNA from 12 species